UUUUUUUUUUUUUUUUUUUACAAAACCACACUGUCGGGAGUUUCCAUUGUGGCGCAGCAGAAAUGAAUCCAACUAGGAACCAUGAGUUUGCAGGUUCGAUCCCUGGCCUCGCUCAGUGGGUUAAGGCUCUGGGAUCAAACCUGCGUCCUCAUGGAUGCUGGUCAGAUUCAUUUCCACUGAGCCACGAUGGUAUCUCCUGAAUAAUUUCCUAAAAGAUAACUAACAUUCAAAGCUAAAUUCAAAGCUUUCAACUGAAAGCUUUCUGCAAAAUUCUAUAGUAGCCACCCCCAUCACUAUGCUAUCGAGUAGACUAUGCUGUUUUCCACUCAAAAUCUAGAAUGUCAUUUAGUAUUUCAUAAAUGCAUUGUUUUCCUCAGCAAACACCAUGAAAAUAACCUAAUAAAACCUGAAAGCAUUUAUUUUAUAUAAGCAAUCAAAGAACUAGAAAAGUCUAUUUAUCUGGUGUUAACGAGAUGAACUUAAAAUUGGAUUGCUUUGUUUAAACUAUCAGUGUUCUUAACAGUGCUGUAGAAUGUGAAGACAUGAUUUUACCUAAAAAAUCUCUUUGGUUUUGCAAAAAGUCAAACUACAGAACUAAAGAGAUAUAUGAGUAAACUCUUAUACAUCAUAUUAGUAGUUUUUAUUUCUAUGAAGAAUGACAUUGAUUCACACAGAGCUUGAUAUCAUAAAAAAAAAACUCAUUUUCAAAAUAUAGACGAUUGGAAGAGAUAGAAGACAAAAAAACCGAGGCUCAAAUUUAACGUAAUAAUUUUUUCACAUCAUCCGACCACUAGUUAAAAAGAAAUUACCAGCCUGUGGAAUAUAAACAACCAAAGCUAAGUAUGUGAAAUACAAAGCCAAAUGUAAACAAUGGGGAAAAAAGUCUGCCAGAGUUUUAUACAGUGUCUUUUCUAAUCCCGUAUUUUUACUAAUACAAAACAUAUCAGUUUAGAAAGUACAAUCUUAACGUUCUUUAAAGUUUAUUAUAAGGGAUUGCCCCCAAGAUCAAAAGCAGCACUGUACAAAACCAACAUGAUGUAACUGCACAAAAAUUUGCUGCUGCUCAAUUUCUACAUCAAAUGAAUGUCUAAAUAAAGAAAAUUGAAAUAUAUGUUUAAUACAAAGUAUUUGUGCAUGUGCAUAUUUAAAGUUGUCACUAUCUUUACUCAAUUUAUUUUCAAAGUAUUUGAUUGAAAAUCCUAAACUUUGUGAAAGAAAUUUCUGAUUUUUUUUUGGUUUUGUAUCUGUAACUUGAAUAAACCCAAAAGCUACAAAUAUAUCAUAACCAACAUUCUAAAAUUGAUGUCAAGUUCCAAAAAAAAAAAACUUCUGAACUAUCUUCCUUAUAAAAUUUUUUAAAUUUUGCUAUGAAGUAAGAAGUGUGGUUUAAAAAUGCAGUCAGCUAAUAUAUUAUAGUUGUCCCUACUCAAUGAGGGGAAACUGAAUAAAGAAUUAAAAAAUAGAAAAUAAUUUGUGAGGUAUAUGAUUCCACAUUAUAAAAGAUUCUCUUUCAUGUGGACUAUAAAUAAAAAGCAGAGAAAGGAAAAUCUAACCCAAAUAUUUUUAGAAGUUAGAUUUUUCAAUUCAAACAACAGUAGUUAGAGUUCUCUGAUAGCUCUUAUUUUAAAUUAUGAGAGGCCAGUGAACUUCUGAAAACUAAAGCAUAAAGUUUUAAGCACACAGUUUAUAACCAUUUUUUGGACAGAACUCCUAAACUUUAUUUAACCUUGGGAGACAGAUAUAUAAAUAUAUAGAUAUACAGACAUAUAGUUAUAGACAUGGAGAGACACAGAUUGUGUGUGUGUUGCAUCUGGUAACCUUUUUAACUUCAUAUAGCAAGUCACUGAUUUGAUCUUUCCUUCUUACCUGCCAUGAAGAUGAAAGCUGCCUAACCUGUAGAAGGCAAGCACAGCUGAUCUGAUGCAAAGUUAACCACCAAAUCAACAGGAGAAGCCAAAAUCUGACAAUUCCUAACUUCAAAAAAAUUUUCUCUUCCUUUCAGUACCCAUGACUCUUUUACAUGAAAACAAUGAUCAACUUUGUAUCAUUUAUACAGUAAACAAUUUCAAAUUCCUUGCCAGAUUUAAUUCACUGUUCUGUCACUCAACAGUAACAAUGAGUUGGGAACCCACUAAGAUCCACAGACUGUACUCGGCUUUUUACAAACAUUAUUCCCCACGAUACACCUGCAAGGUAGUUGCAUCCCCAUUUUACAGAUAAGAAAACUAAGUGUCAGAAGGGUUAAAUCACUUGACCAAGACCAAAUUACUAAAAGGUGGAGCCAGAUUCUAAUCUAGGUGCAUUAGGCCAAUUUAAGGGCUGUUUGAUAUUCCCACCAUUCUAUACACUCUUUAUACUAACCUUGUUCAUGGGUUAAAAAAUUAUCUCCUGCUAUCUGUUUUUUCCAGAAAUUUGUAUUUGGGAUUGAGGAAUAAAAUACAUUUCCAGGAGUCAUUUUUACAAAUAUCAAAAUACAAUUUUCUCAAAUUCUUCUUGGCUUAACUUUUAAUAUUUAAAAUAUGCAUAUUAAAAGUUACAUUAAUGAUUAAGACUUAAAGGUUUGCACUGAUCACUGCAGUUUCCUACAGCAUUGAAGAUUCUAAACAGAGCAAAGAUCCGAAAGUUGGAAUAUUAUAUUGGUAAAAAAAUUGCCAAACAUUAUCUCCGUUUACUAAGUAUAAACACACCAAUUUUCUAAGAAAAUACGACGUGAAGCUCGGAACUGCUUAGUUCUAUUAUAAUCCUUCAUUCUAAAUACUAGAACCAAUCAGAAAAUAUAUCCAUAUAUUUUCUUCACAACCAGAGAAUAGUAUUUUACAAUCUGUCUGAUAUUAUUUCACUCUUGAAAUGUUUUUUCACUGGGAAUCGAAUUCUAACCUGGCAAUUUUUCACCAGCACACUGAGAUACCUUCCCACUGUUUUCUGACUUCAAUUUCUGUUCCUGAGCUGUCAGUGUAACUGCCAGGCUAUUUUAAAGGUAAUCUGUCUUUUGUUCGCUGCCAACUUUUUAAGAUGUCCUCUUUGUUGCUGGCUCUCUCUGUACCACUAUGAUGUGUCUAGAUGUUUAUUUCCUUUUAGCUAUUCUGCUUGUAUGUCUCUGAACUUACUCAAUUUGUGGACUGGAAUUUUUCAUUAGUUCUGGAAAAUCCUUAGCUAUUAUAUCUUCAAACAUUGCCUCUCCCAUCAUUUCCCUCUUCUACAAUUAGAAAACUAAAUACUGUUAGACCUUCUCAUUCUGUGUUCUAUACAUCUUAAUCCCUUUCUUUUUACCCAUUUCCUUGUCUUUCUGUGCUACAUUCUGAGUAAUUUCUAUGUUCAGUUCAUUAAUUUCAUUAAUUGUCUUUAGUUGUAUUUAAUCUACUAUUAAGUAUACCUACUGAAUUUUUGUUAUAAUUUGUAUUUUUUAUUUCUAGAAGUCUUGUUCAAGUCUUUUUCAAAUCUACUAAAUGUCUCAUCCCCUGCAGGUAGUCCAUCUUUUUGUAAACAUAAUAAACAGCUGCUUAAUAAUUGCUGUCUGGUAAUUCCAAAAUCUGAAGUUUCUGAGGGUCUACUUCUGUUAACUCUUGCUACUGCUUCUCAUUCAUGGGGAUUUGUUUCCAUGAGCGGUUCAUUAUAUUCUAUUGUGAUCUAUUUCUUGGGAAAAGGAUUUGGGGGAAUUCCCUAGGACGAAAGGUAAAAUGUAUUCUACCUGAGAGGACUUUCAUUUGCUUCUCCCAGGAAUCUAGAACCACUUAAAAUUCACAACUUAAGAUAAGGUUUGUAGCACCCAGGUGACACUGAAUAUGGGCUGCAAAUCAACAAGAGGAAUAGGGAUCUUUUUCAGGCCCAAGAAAACAAUUCUUGCAUCCUCCUGUGAGCAAGAGCAUGUGAAGGAUUUUAACCUUGGUUUAAACAUAUUCUAUAGACAUAGCUCUUUGGAGUCUCAGUUUUUUUAAGUAAGGAAUUUCCUAUUAGACUCCUCCUUGGAGUUCUCCUUAAAGUCCUCCUUAAUUUCUAUACCUUGUGAGCCCUUCAAGACCAAAGUAAAAGUUCCCUAGAAUAUGGCAAAUAUCCUCAAAGGAAACGCAGUUUUAAUAUUCUGCUUACUUUCCUGAAUUCCUACUUUCAUGUAGAUUUUGGCCUGUUGAUGUCUUAUUGUCAUGUUAGCUCUUAAGAGGUGAAAAAAAAAUUUUUUUCUAGUAUUUCUUUUCAAGGAGUUACUCUGUCCAUAUAACCUAGUUGACUAUAUUAUCCUAUUUUCAAUUUUAAAAGGUUGCUUAUUUUUAUACUUCAAUCACUAAAAGUUUCAUUUUGUGGGGGAGUGUAACACUGACAAUAAGAAACAAUUUGUUUUUAUUCACCUUGAUUUUCUGGAACUGUUUACAACAAAAAUUUUCCAAACCCCAAAACAUAUCAAUUCCUUUAUAUCCUAAAACAAUUAGAGAUGGACAAGAUUCUGAAAUUAAUGCCCAAAACAGACGUCUUUUUAACUAAGGAAUUUAUUAGUCUACGAAUUUUUCCCUACUAGAAACAGGCAUAAUAUACAAAAAUUCUAUAUCUGACAAACUCCUAGAAGAUGACCAGAAUUUUAAGAAGAUAACAAAUAAGGGAGAACUAAAUUCAACUUUGUUUCUGCCAGAGUUCCCUUCGUGGCUCGGCAGUUAAUGAACCUAACUAGGAUCCAUGAGAAUGAAGGUUCAAUCCCUGGCCUUGCUCAGUGACUGAGGAUCUGCUGUUGCUGUGAGCUGUGGUGUAGGUCACAGACAUGGGCUGUGAUCUGGUGUUGCUGUGGCUGUGGCAUAGGCCGACAGCUGUGGCUCCUAUUUGACCUCUAGCCUAGGAACUUCCAUAUACUGCAGGUUCAGCCCUAAAAAAAGCAAAAAAAAAACCCAAAAAAAACCCAAAAAAAAUUGUUUUUGCCAAGAAAGAAAAUCAUAAAGAAAAAGACUAAUAUAUGGAACUACAUAAAAAUGUAAUAAUUCUUCAUAUGAAUUUUUUAGAAGUAUAAGCAAAAUUGAAAGACAAAAUUGAGGAUACUUACAAUAUAUGUAAUAGAGUCAAAAUCUAUAACAUACAAAAAGCUCUUCAAAAUCAUUAAGAAAAUAAACACCUCCCAAAAUGGACAAAGGACAUAAAUAGGCACUAAAGAAGUAAUAAAAGCAACCUAUCAACUUUUACCAUUAGGUUAACAAAAACCAAUGAUUUACAAUUCCUUCUGAUAGCAAGGUUACAGGCAAAUGUAAUUUAUACCCUGAAUUAAAAGUUGGGGUACAAAUUAAUAUUAUCUAUUAGGCAAGUUGGCAAUAGGUAUCAAAAAUCUAAAUUAUACAUACCCUUAAAUACAAUAAUCUCACUACUAGACAUAUAUUUAGGAAUAUAACAUCAAUGCAUGAGGACUUAUGAAAUACAAAAGUUAAAAAUAAAACACAAAACUAGUUAAAAAGGAGUUCUAGGCACACUUAAAACUUAAAAACUAAGAAACCAUACAAAUAAAAACAAAGAAAUAUAAUUAUUGUUUAAGAAUAGUAAUCAGUUACUUUUUAAAAUUCCACUUUAUAUUGUACUUUUUAAAAACUGAUCAUAUUAUUAUCAUGAUUCUUUGGAGACUGAAAGCCUAGACAAACUCAUCCAAUAAUUUCUAUAGUUUUUUGUUUGUUUGUUAGGUCUGUGUAGUGGAUUAAACAUGGUCACACAUUUCUGUCACUUUCUCCACCAGAAGAGUGAGUUUAAUUCUCUUCCCAUUGAAUGUGGAGUGACUGUCUAUUUAACAAAAAAAAUACAGCAGAAGUAACACUCAUCAAUUUUUAGCCUAAUCCUUAAGAGCACUGCCUGCUUCCACUUCCUACCUCUUAGAAUGUUUGUUCUUAGGACACUCAUUCUCAGAGUCCAUCAGUCAUACCCAGACUACAUGGAGAGGCCUCACAUCGAGUUCCCAUGACAGCAGGUAGCAUUAAAUGCCAACCAUGUUGAGUGAGCCAUCUUAGAAGUGGAAAGAAACUACAACCUCCAAUGAGCUGACACUAAGGGGCACAGAAAUAAACCUUCCCUAUCAAGUUGUAUACAAAGUAUAUAAAAACAUAAGCAACUAAAUAUUACUGUUGUUUUAAGCUAGUGAGGUUUGGAGUGACUUAUCACACAGCAGCUAAUAACUGGAA
rnacentral:lncRNA from 1 species